rnacentral:rRNA from 1 species
UGCCAGCCGCCGCGGUAACACGGGGGGCGCAAGCGUUAUUCGGAAUUAUUGGGCGUAAAGGGCGCGUAGGCGGUCUUAUCGGUCAGAUGUGAAAGCCCAGGGCUCAACCCUGGACGUGCAUUUGAAACAGUAAGACUUGAGUAUGGGAGAGGAAAGCGGAAUUCCUGGUGUAGAGGUGAAAUUCGUAGAUAUCAGGAGGAACACCGAUGGCGAAGGCAGCUUUCUGGACCAAUACUGACGCUGAGGCGCGAAGGCGUGGGUAGCGAACAGGAUUAGAUA